CUUGACCGAGCCGAGCCACAGCGGCUCGUCCCCGGCCCGGUCCUGGCCGUAGGUGGCCAGCAGGGCCCCCGCCUC
rnacentral:antisense_RNA from 1 species